CAAUUUCCAGGCCAUUCCCCAAUUUUCGACUUCGAUGAGAGACAACACAUGCAGGCACGGCUGUUUCGGUAAAGUAAGGCAUGGGCUGAUUGACAAUGCGGUUCAUCUCACAUUUUGUGACCGAACUAAUCCAGUAAAUUCCUACCAGACGGCUCUGCAUCUCAGUGGAGGCAGUUUCUUUUCCAGUAUCAAACUUCUGUUGCUACGAGGAGGGGAGAAAAAAGAAAAGAUUAACAACAAAAGAAGAUUUCCUCUCUCUUUUAAUUGACUUUAAUUACCAUAAGGACUGUAACAAUUGUGGCUUACUUUAAUGUUGCUUGUAUGGAGAUUAAGGAGUGGAAUAUGAAACAUCAUCAUUAAUCUUCAUUCUCAGGGAAUGGAAUGCACCAGGUCCUUUCUCUGGUUCCAGACUGUGGCUAGUUCAAGAUACCAUGGAGGGUUUUGUUCACCAAACAAACAAGUGUUUUACGGGAUAUCAAACCUCAUUUAUGUGUCUCAUCACAUGUUUAACGGCACCUAAUGAUAAUAACAAUAACUAUAAUGAGAAGAAGUGUGUGUGUGUGUGUGUGUGUGUGUGUGUGUGUGUGUGUUUUAUGUGUAUGUGUGUAUGAUGAGAAAAGGGAGCAGAAACAAACCACAUACCAGUAG